UACGUAGGUGGCAAGCGUUGUCCGGAAUUAUUGGGCGUAAAGCGCGCGCAGGCGGUCCUUUAAGUCUGAUGUGAAAGCCCACGGCUCAACCGUGGAGGGUCAUUGGAAACUGGGGGACUUGAGUACAGAAGAGAAGAGUGGAAUUCCACGUGUAGCGGUGAAAUGCGUAGAGAUGUGGAGGAACACCAGUGGCGAAGGCGACUCUUUGGUCUGUAACUGACGCUGAGGCGCGAAAGCGUGGGGGGCGAACAGG
rnacentral:rRNA from 1 species